UUAUAUAUAUUCUAGAAUGUUACAUCAUUAUCAACUAGAUGAGUAUUUCUAUAAUUUAGAGAAAGAAAUAUAUCAAUAACGGCAUACGAGACGAUACAUUGUAAUUUGUAUCAUACUAACGUCAGUGUACCCAAAUUGAUACCAAUUUCCAAUACUUACCCUAAUAAUUCAUUUGUCGCUAAUCGAUAUUCAAAUAUUAGCUUUAUUUUAACUAAGAGUGAGUACGAACUUCAUCUCCGUGUGUUGGUUUGGUUAUUACAACGCGUGUGUUUAUUAAUAGAACGCUAGGUAGUAGGUGUUGUCACUUCCGGUUUAGAACAAGGUGCGUGUACCCAAAUUGAUACCCUGCAAGGAAAGCGGCUAUAAUGCCAUGAAAAUCAACAUUUUUGCAGUAAAUUGUGAUUGCACUGCAUAAUUUGAAGGUAAGUAUACUUUUGGUACUAUUUGAUACUAUAUACACACUGGUUUUACUGUAAACAUUCCAAAUGAAGUUACGUGUUAUUAACCAUGUGUAAGGCAAAGUCUGUAGUACUAGUAGUAAAGCAACGAUUUUCUCAUUGCAGUUUUCAAGAAGACAUUUUGCAGAUAUUCUCUCAAAACAACAUUAAACUUAAAUAAAUCAGAUUGAAGAAACAUGGUUUAAUUAUUCCAAUGGUGAUGUAAUAAACAGAUCUUACAGGAUAGAAGAUUUUUGGGCAUAUAUCUACAAACUGAUGUUAUGUUAUUUAACUACUAAGUUUAACUGUCAUUUUAUUUUUAUCGGUUUUUAAUAAUUUCAAAUUUACUGAUUUCAUAUAUAUACUUUUGUCAUUUUUCUUUUCUUUUUGCAGUCCUUCUCCUUCAGUUGGUUGACUAUUUCAUCCCCCAUUAAGAUAAAGCAGUACAAAAAUUGAGUUCCAAUUAUGGGAAGGAAAAUGUCCGCAAGCUCAGAUGGUAUAAGGCCUUUGGUAACAAGUGGAUGGCCUCUGAUCAUGACAAAUUGACCGCAUAUUUCACAAAGAGUGUCAUCGUGGUUGCUACAUGGGGAGCUUGGUUGAUUGUCUCCCCCUGGACCAGGUUGAGUGGACAAAAAUGGACAACAUCUAGUGGUUGGAGUAAGUGUGAUGUAUGAGGAGGGAGACAGUACAACUCCACCUGGUUUGCUCUAGCAGUUUCUAUAAAGUCAAUGGACAGAUCCUGUCUUGAGCUGAUACUCCUUUCUUGAACCCAGUUUCAUCAACGUUAUAAAUAAGAGGUGGUUUAUUUUACAAAAUCUGAAUUGAUUAAAAGGUAACUUCACAUUUCAAAACACUUCAGAAUGAAGAUAGC